rnacentral:rRNA from 1 species
CACGAACGCUGGCGGCAGGCUUAACACAUGCAAGUCGAGCGCCCCGCAAGGGGAGCGGCAGACGGGUGAGUAACGCGUGGGAAUCUACCCAUCUCUACGGAAUAACGCAUGGAAACGUGUGCUAAUACCGUAUACGUCCUUCGGGAGCAAGAUUUAUCGGAGAUGGAUGAGCCCGCGUUGGAUUAGCUAGUUGGUGGGGUAAAGGCCUACCAAGGCGACGAUCCAUAGCUGGUCUGAGAGGAUGAUCAGCCACACUGGGACUGAGACACGGCCCAGACUCCUACGGGAGGCAGCAGUGGGGAAUAUUGGACAAUGGGCGCAAGCCUGAUCCAGCCAUGCCGCGUGAGUGAUGAAGGCCCUAGGGUUGUAAAGCUCUUUCACCGGUGAAGAUAAUGACGGUAACCGGAGAAGAAGCCCCGGCAAACUUCGUGCCAGCCGCCGCCGUAAGAC